AGAAAAUGGGCCCUCUUGGCCGUCGGGACUUGUACUGUUGGUGACUCCGUCUCCUUAGACGGUGGAGCCUGCGUGACCCAGAAAGGCCGCCUCGGGACCCAGACCAGGAUUUCCAUCAGCUCCCCUGGCUCGCAGGCCUUCUGACUUCUGACUCACCAUCAGCUCUCCUGGAUCCAGCUUGCCAAUGGCAGAUCGUGGGACUCCUUGCCCUCUAAUCGCAUGAAACAAUGCCCACAGUUGAUUCCAGAUCCUGGCUACUGUGCAUAGUGCUGCAGUCAACAUGGGAGUGCCGAUAUCUCUUCAAUAUACUGAUUUCCUUUUCCUUGGGUAUCUACCUAACAAGAUGGUGAGCUCCUUAGAGGGAAGUAUAGUACAUAUUUCCUCCAUGUCUCCAGUACCCAACACAGUGCCUGACGUUGAGAGGGCUCUUAAUAAGUGUUUGUGAAAGACUGGUAGAGCAAUGCCCUAUGAAACAAGAAGCUGGAUAACACUGCUUAGGACUCAGAGGAGAGAGGAGUGUGGUCUACACUGCACAUCUCUGCCAAGCCUGGCACGGGAUUUGAAGUUCCACACCACUGAGCCAAACACAUCCAGACCCUCUUCCAACCCGGGGAUCUGGUGGUAAGCAAAAUACUAUUCCAGCAAGUGAUGCCCCCAGUCUCCUAAGGAUAUAAGAAACAGGAAGUUGUGUUUGGCUGCGGACAAACUCUCUCAGUGCCCCUGGGACUUACAAGAUGUUUGGAAUGAGGAACGGUGAGCUCUCCCAAUGCGAGCUCAGCGGAGGCCCCCAGAAAAACGUGGGGAGGAGAGUUUUCCCCAUAAGACAGACUGUCCUUCAGCCCCGGCCACCAAAGAGGAGUAACCCGGGCCUGCUGUUCUCUGGGACUGAAUGCGGCUGCAUCCUUCCCUUCCUCUGCUUCCUGUCCCGGUACUUACUGACGGUGCACAUGCGGGGCUUGGGGAAGCUGAGUGUCUAACCGCGGUGCAGCUACGGAUGGGAAAUUCUGGGCAGGGACGAGCCUGUCUUCACCUGAGGAAUUCCCUCCCACAUCACACAGGGCAGAGUGGGAGUGGAGGAGGGCAGAGGACACGUCUCAGGGCCAGUAACCUAGGCUUAUAGAAGACGUCAUCACCGUCCUCAUGAUGUUCACCCCGUCUCCUGUUUUUUGGGGCCAUGUGUUCCGAAAUGUAGCUUCAACUCAUCAUAGGGGCAAAAAGAAGUGAUGAGUCUGUGGCAGCAGAAAUCUGGGAAUCCAAGGGUCGUGCUACAUCUAGUCCUCUUUGAUAAAUUCUGCCUUCCUGUUCACAUUUUUCGAGAAACCAUUUUGAAUUCCCAAACAGCAAAGGAAAUGCUGCAGGUUCCUGGAGGGACCUGGUGAUCUGGGGCAGAGCACACGGAGUCGAGAUUGCUGCGGGGUUCACGAGCCUCCCCUCCUGGGACCAGGGGCACCUGGGCAGGGUAGUCUGCACCACGCAGGAAAGCCCAGUACACGCAGCUGCUCAACGCUGCAGACGCCAUAGCGCAGGGCUGACAAGGCCUCCCUCUUUAUCUGCCCUGGACCACAAGUGGAAAAUAUCAAGACAAAGCAAAAGCCAGUAUCCCUUAAGAACUUUCCAAUUGUUCUUGUCAUUUGUAGUUUUGUUUUUUGGGGGGUGUGGGGAGGGAGGGGUGGUUUGAAACAACUCCGGAGCACACUCCAGAGGAAAACAGGAAGGGUGACAUGUUUGGACACCAGAAAAGAGGAAGAGUCCUCACUAAGAGGGUGACUUGGUUAAAAAGUUCAAGCACAAAGGAUGUAGAAGCAGGUGGAUGUCAUCAGAGAACAGAUGCGGAUCUAGUGAGAUGGGUCCUACCACCCCUGGAAUAUGUUCCUGGGAGAGGGGUGGUCUGCUAGAGUGGACUGGGAAUAGUAAUAUUGCAUACUUUUGUAAAUUCACAAAACCCUCUGAUCUGUGAUAGAGGAAUAAAGGGCAGAGGAUAAACCCCAGAUAAAGAUUCACUUAUCUUAAAAAUGAAAGGUUGGAAAUUAACUUUAUGCUACUGUACCACCUUCGAAGUAUUUCUGGCAGGUGCCUGGAGGAUUCAGAUUAAUGACCAAAUUACCUGCCAAGUCAGGGCCUCCCAUUAGAAGAGAGUACCAGUUUCCAUUAGGAGCACUAGCUGGAAAACACAAUCUUUCAGCAGAGGAAAUACAGUCUUCUCUCCUUCUCUGGGUGCACAGAGUGGUCGUGGUUGGCUGGGGCAGAUAAUGGUGUGGUCUUCCUCUGCAGAUCUGGUUUCUGAGUCCCUGGGCUGCAGCUGUUGAAUUUCCAGACACAAACAAGUAUGCGUUCUGAGAGCCUCGCCGAGCCCACACAACCGGGAGAGCCAAGCUGGAUUCCAUUCUGCUUUGCACAUCAGCAGCUCUGCUGCCAGCUGAACUCCAGGGCAAAAGCUGUGCCUGGUAAUGAUGCAGGCAGCAGGGAUGGCACAGCUGGCCUGGCUUAGGCCGUUAAGGGGGACACGCUUGGCCUUAUUUGGGGGAGAGCGAGAAAUGGAAGGCGAUGAAGAGUUGCGGAAGCAUACAUCAGCCUCCACAAAACUGGUGCACAGCAGGGAAACAAUCUGGUUUUGCUAGUCAUCAACAA
rnacentral:lncRNA from 1 species